rnacentral:rRNA from 1 species
CGACGUAGGUAACCUGCCUUGUAGCGGGGGAGUAACUAUUGGAAACGAUAGCUAAUACCGCAUAACAAUGGAUGACACAUGUCAUUUAUUUGAAAGGGGCAAUUGCUCCACUACAAGAUGGACCUGCGUUGUAUUAGCUAGUAGGUGAGGUAACGGCUCACCUAGGCGACGAUACAUAGCCGACCUGAGAGGGUGAUCGGCCACACUGGGACUGAGACACGGCCCAG